CUUGAUUUUCCACAAUUCGAUGGGGAUAACCCUCAAUUCUGGAAAACUAAGUGCGAGAAGUAUUUUGAUGUCUAUGGAGUCAGUAAGGAUGUGUGGGUGCGGGUGGCGACCCUGCACUUCACGGGUAACGCUGCUAGAUGGCUGCAAUUGUAUGAGUCGGGGAUGAAAAACAUAGAGUGGGAAGGGCUGUGUGCUACACUCUGUAGCAAAUUCGGACGCGACCAAUAUCAGGCGCAACUCCGUCAAUUUGCUCAGUUAUCACAGACGGGUUCGGUGUCGGAUUACAUGACACAGUUUGAGGAGUUGACGCAUAAUCUGCUAGCUCACAAUCCUGGGUUUGAU
rnacentral:rRNA from 1 species